CUACUCCUCUUUCAUAUUGGUUGGCCAAAAGGUGAGAGAGUCUCAAGGAAAUAAGGCACUAUAGACCAAUUUCAAUUUGUUUAAAUUGGGUUCAAUUCGAAUCUAAUUCGAAUCAAAUUCGAAAAAACUAUUAAUCCAAAUCUUAUUAAAAUUUAGGUCCAAGUCUAACUUGGAUAAUUAAUCCAAUUAGCCUAAAAUCAAAUCAAACCCAAUUAAAUUAGAUCUAAUCUAAAAUAAUUAGGACUUGAAUCUAAUCUCUCAAUUUUUUUUGGAUCACGGAU
rnacentral:lncRNA from 1 species